rnacentral:misc_RNA from 1 species
UCGAAUUCUGAAGGGGGGGGAAGACCAGGCGAAGCGUUGGUUGACUGUUGCUGGCCAUCUGGCACUGUGCACGUCUCUCGCACUUUUGUCGAUCUUUCUCUCUCUUCAAUUCCACUACACCUGUGCACCUGCUGUAGGUCCUUGCAAAAGGAUCUAUGUCUUUCUUGUAUCACAUCCAUCGUAUGUCUACAGAAUGUAUCAAAUUGGCCCAUGGUCGAUUGAAAUCAUAAUA